UAUAACCCAAGUCCGUGAUCGUCUUUUUCAAAGCAUCGGCGUUGGUCACGCUUGGAUCAAUCUGAGCCUUGACCUUGCUACUGUUAAACAAGGCUUUCACUGUUUUGACACCGGCUUGCUGGCCUAAUGCGCCUUCAAUUUUCUGCAAACAGCUUGGGCAAGUUAAACCAUCUAAUUGAUAAACUAAUUUUGUCAUGUUAAAAAUCCUUUCUUGUUUAUUUACCUUCAUUAUUAACGGUUUGUGCUGCGGCGUCCUUGAUCGUCGUCAAGUUUUGUAACUUUCGGGGGGUGUGCCGUAACCGUAAGGCAUUCGCGAUGACCAACAGAAUCGAAAUUUCGUGGAACAGCAUCCCGCUGGCCAUAUCAACUAACCCAAUGAGCAAGCCGCUUAACAAUAAGGCAACAGUUCCGAUCGCAAUGACAAGAUUCUGUUUGAUAUUAUUGUCCAUCCGUUUAGCCAGAUCGAAAAGAACGCCGAGAUUCGUCAGGCGACUGCUGGUUAAAAUGACAUCAGCAGUAUCAAUGGCCACAUCCAUCCCUGAGCCCAUGGCUACCCCAACAUCUGCUUGCGCCAGUGCAGGCCCGUCGUUGAUCCCGUCACCGACAAACAUCACCUUUUCACCAUGCGCUUGCGCUGCCUUGAUCGCCGUGACCUUGUCGACUGGUAGUAAACCGCCGUGGGUCUGGCUCAGUGGCAAAUCCGCCAUCAUGUGUUCAACCGCAGCCUGCGAGUCGCCUGAAAGCACAACCGUCUUUUUACCGUUAGCUUGAAGGGUCGCCAACAUGCCUGGGGUAUCGGUCCGCAACUGAUCGCGUAAGCCGUAAACUGCAGCAAGUUUGCCGUCAAUCGUCGCCACGACCAACGAAGCACCGCUUUUAAUUACGUUUUGAAUAGCGGCUUGCUGAGCGGUAGUCAGCGGCUGCGUCAGACUCUUUUGAUUCCCAAUGCUAACGGUAUGGUCAGCCACUUGCGCCUGCACGCCAAUUCCCCGCGUGACUUUCACGUCGGUCACAGACGGUGUUGUUUGCGGCUUUAGGUAGGCGACCAAUGCCUGCCCCAACGGAUGCGCCGUUGCAUGCUCGACUGCCGCCACCAGGUCAGCAACUUUGGCGUCAUCGUUCGCCCAAUAUUGAGCCGUUGCAACGCUGAUUUUACCUUGGGUUAAGGUGCCGGUUUUAUCAAACAUAACCGUGUCAAUCUGAUCCAAUUUGGUGGCCACAUCCCCGCCUUUGAUCAAAAUGCCGUGCUUCGCGCCAAAGCCUAAGCCGACAACAUUGCUGACGGGGGCGCCAAUCACCAAUGCACCAGGGCAGCCUAAUACCAAAAUCGUAAUGGCUAGUCGGACAUUUUGGCUGAUCAAACCAACGAGCAAAGCAAUGAUCAAUACCAGCGGCGUAUACCACCGCGCAAACUUCUGGAUAAAAGUGGCGACUGGUGACUGUGCGUCCUGCGCAUCCUCAAUCAAAUCAAUGAUCUGUUGAUAAACCGUGUUGUAGCCGGUUUUCUCAACUUCAAUAGCCACCGUACCAUCACUCACCUGCGUGCCGGAAUAAACCGUUGCGCCGGCCUGCUUGCUUUUUGCAUCCGGCUCACCAGUGAUCGCGGCUUCAACAACAUUCGCCUGCCCACUGAUCACUUUGCCAUCAGCUGGUACCGUUUCGCCGGCCAGUACACGGACUUGAUCACCAACUGCCAAGUCACCAACCGGAAUCAUGGUGCCAUCCAGUCGCCGCGCGGUUUUCGGUGCCGCAGCCGCCAAGCCUUGAAUCGCCGAACGCGUCUUCGCCAAACUGCGCUGCUCUAACCAGUCACCGAAUAAAAAUAGAAAACUGACCACAGCACUUUCAACCGGCUCACCAAUCAACACCGCGCCAACCAGGGCAAUCGUCACCAGCAACUCAAUACUAAUCUGCUUAUACCGCAGCGCCGCCAAUGCAUUGAUCGCAAUCGGCAAGCCCGCCACCAAACUCGCCAACACCAGCACCCAUGCCUGACUAAAAAUCAGACCGCCUGCUGUCAGCACACCGCCAGCAAUCAUCGCUUCUUGUUUAUGCGUCUGAAUAAAAUGCAUCGCUAAUCCCUCCAUUUGAGACCAGUGUACCGAGGGAUGAAAAAAGCUGCCUUGACGGUGAUCAACUUUAGGGAUUUGCGACAUGAUUAUUCUGGAACUGGCAUGUUUAUGACGAAAAAAGCUGAAAACACGACGUUUAUUUUUAAACUGAUGAAACAUCAUCAGUUUCAGUUACAAUUAAUUUGCUUAGUCUUGAAGGUAUCUUGGUUGUUGGGGGCUUAAUUGCUGUCUUAUCGAAUUUCCUGUAAGAUUUCAUUCGUAUACAUAACAGAUAUUUGAGUAGUGGUCUUCUAGUAUGACCAAUCCUCAGCCAUGAUGAUGCGUUAAUUGGGAGAUGAUACUAAAAUGAAUAGCGAUAAAAAAGUUUGGGGUGCAUUGCUGAUAGUGCUCUUUAACCGUAGCAUCUUCAGAUAUAUCGAAGCUCUCUGGACGAACAAUAUGAU
rnacentral:rRNA from 1 species